UGCGUAGGUGGCGCUGUAAGUCAGGUGUGAAAUUUCGGAGCUUAACUCCGAAACUGCAUUUGAUACUGCGGUGCUUGAGGACUGGAGAGGAGAUUGGAAUUCACGGUGUAGCAGUGAAAUGCGUAGAUAUCGUGAGGAAGACCAGUGGCGAAGGCGGAUCUCUGGACAGUUCCUGACACUGAGGCACGAAGGCCAGGGGAGCAAACG
rnacentral:rRNA from 1 species